rnacentral:rRNA from 1 species
GAUGAACGCUGGCGGCGUGCCUAAUACAUGCAAGUCGAGCGAACAGACGAGGAGCUUGCUCCUCUGACGUUAGCGGCGGACGGGUGAGUAACACGUGGAUAACCUACCUAUAAGACUGGGAUAACUUCGGGAAACCGGAGCUAAUACCGGAUCAUAUAUUGAACCGCAUGGUUCAAUAGUGAAAGACGGUUUUGCUGUCACUUAUAGCUGGAUCCGCGCCGCAUUAGCUAGUUGGUAAGGUAACGGCUUACCAAGGCGACGAUGCGUAGCCGACCUGAGAGGAUGAUCAGCCACACUGGAACUGAGACACGGUCCAGACUCCUACGGGAGGCAGCAGUAGGGAAUCUUCCGCAAAGGGCGAAAGCCUGACGGAGCAACGCCGCGUGAGUGAUGAAGGUCUUCGGAUCGUAAAACUCUGUUAUUAGGGAAGAACAAAUGUGUAAGUAACUAUGCACGUCUUGACGGUACCUAAACAGAAAGCCACGGCUAACUACGUG